rnacentral:rRNA from 1 species
GAUGAACGCUAGAGGUAUGCUUAACACAUGCAAGUCGUACGGAAAAGAAAUUUUUAGUGGCGGACGGGUGAGUAACGCGUGAGAAUUUGCCUUUAGGAAGAGGAUAACAUUUAGAAAUAAUUGCUAAAACUCUAUAUGCCGUUUGGUGAAAAAAGUAAUUUGCCUAAAGAGAAGCUCGCGUCCGAUUAGCUAGUUGGUGGGGUAAAGGCGUACCAAGGCGACGAUCAGUAGCUGGCCUGAGAGGAUGAUCAGCCACGCUGGAACUGAGACACGGUCGAGAGUCGGACGGGAGGCAGCAGUCAGGAAUUUUCUGCAAUGGGCGAAAGCCUGACGGAGCAAUACCGCGUGAGUGAUGAAGACCUGCGGCUUGUAAACCUCUUUUCUCAAGGAGGAAGAUCUGACGUUGCUUGAGGAAUAAGCGACGGCUAACCCUGUGCCAGCCGCCGCGGUAAAAC